rnacentral:rRNA from 1 species
UGGGGAAUAUUGGACAAUGGGCGCAAGCCUGAUCCAGCAAUGCCGCGUGUGUGAAGAAGGCCUGCGGGUUGUAAAGCACUUUCGUUGGGGAGGAAGGCCUUAUGGUUAAUAACCAUGAGGAUUGACGUUACCCAAACAAGAAGCACCGGCUAACUCUGUGCCAGCAGCCGCGGUAAUACAGAGGGUGCGAGCGUUAAUCGGAAUUACUGGGCGUAAAGGGCGCGUAGGUGGUUAAUUAAGUCGUAUGUGAAAUCCCUGGGCUCAACCUAGGAAUUGCGUAUGAUACUGAUUAGCUAGAGUGUGGGAGAGGGAAGUGGAAUUUCCGGUGUAGCGGUGAAAUGCGUAGAUAUCGGAAGGAACACCAGUGGCGAAGGCGACUUCCUGGCCCAAUACUGACACUGAGGCGCGAAAGCGUGGGGAGCGAACAGG